UAGCUAGUUGGUGAGGUAACGGCUCACCAAGGCGACGAUGCGUAGCCGACCUGAGAGGGUGAUCGGCCACACUGGGACUGAGACACGGCCCAGACUCCUACGGGAGGCAGCAGUAGGGAAUCUUCCGCAAUGGACGAAAGUCUGACGGAGCAACGCCGCGUGAGUGAUGAAGGUUUUCGGAUCGUAAAGCUCUGUUGUUAGGGAAGAACAAGUGCCGUUCAAAUAGGGCGGCACCUUGACGGUACCUAACCAGAAAGCCACGGCUAACUACGUGCCAGCAGCCGCGGUAAUACGUAGGUGGCAAGCGUUGUCCGGAAUUAUUGGGCGUAAAGGGCUCGCAGGCGGUUUCUUAAGUCUGAUGUGAAAGCCCCCGGCUCAACCGGGGAGGGUCAUUGGAAACUGGGGAACUUGAGUGCAGAAGAGGAGAGUGGAAUUCCACGUGUAGCGGUGAAAUGCGUAGAGAUGUGGAGGAACACCAGUGGCGAAGGCGACUCUCUGGUCUGUAACUGACGCUGAGGAGCGAAAGCGUGGGGAGCGAACAGGAUUAGAUACCCUGGUAGUCCACGCCGUAAACGAUGAGUGCUAAGUGUUAGGGGGUUUCCGCCCCUUAGUGCUGCAGCUAACGCAUUAAGCACUCCGCCUGGGGAGUACGGUCGCAAGACUGAAACUCAAAGGAAUUGACGGGGGCCCGCACAAGCGGUGGAGCAUGUGGUUUAAUUCGAAGCAACGCGAAGAACCUUACCAGGUCUUGACAUCCUCUGACAAUCCUAGAGAUAGGAGUCCCCUUCGGGGGCAAAGUGACAGGUGGUGCAUGGUUGUCGUCAGCUCGUGUCGUGAGAUGUUGGGUUAAGUCCCGCAACGAGCGCAACCCUUGAUCUUAGUUGCCAGCAUUCAGUUGGGCACUCUAAGGUGACUGCCGGUGACAAACCGGAGGAAGGUGGGGAUGACGUCAAAUCAUCAUGCCCCUUAUGACCUGGGCUACACACGUGCUACAAUGGACAGAACAAAGGGCAGCGAAACCGCGAG
rnacentral:rRNA from 1 species